AGGGACUUAGGAUAGCACAAUUCCAAGGACCUUCAAAGUCCUAAACGGGAGUGAAAAUCUCCCAGCCCCUG
rnacentral:tRNA from 1 species